rnacentral:lncRNA from 10 species
GCAUGAUUGCCAAGAUCUAUAGAUCUAAAGGUCAUCAUUUGUCUCAGAUACUUGAUAUAUUCAAAUAAUUUAGAACUGCCUGAAGCUUUCCCAAGAAUCCAUCCACUGUUGAUUCAAGUACUUUAUUAACAGAGGACAGAAUCUGAGAUCCUGGAGAUCAGAGUCUCCAUUAGAAGCACUGGAAAAUUCCAAGCCUAUCAGAGAUGAAGGGAUGGAGAUUCUUUUGGGAGUCUGCAGCUUCAUCUUUGAUAAUAAAUCAUUCUACAUGAAAGAAGCCAGAAACGAAACAUUGCAUAUGGUAUUACUCCAUUUACAUGAAAUAUCCAGAAUAGGUAAAUCCAUGGAGACAGAAAGCAGUUU